rnacentral:rRNA from 1 species
AUUGAACGCUGGCGGCAGGCCUAACACAUGCAAGUCGAACGAGAGGCGGACGGGUGUGAAAUGUCUGGGGAACAGCCCGAUGGCGGGGGAUAUCUCUAGGAAAAGGUAGCUAAUAUACCAUACCCUCGCAUAUGCCCACAUGGGAUUAUCUUGUAGGUGUGGUAACGGCUCCCCAAGGCGCCGAUCUCCAGCUGGUCUGAGAGGAUGACCAGCCACACUGGAACUGGGACACGGUCCAGACUCCUACGGGAGGCAGCAGUGGGGAAUAUUGCACAAUGGGCGCAAGCCUGAUGCAGCCAUGCCGCGUGUAUGAAGAAGGCCUUCGGGUUGUAAAGUACUUUCAGCGGGGAGGCGUUACCCGCAGAAGAAGCACCGGCUAACUCCGUGCCAGCAGCCGCGGUAAUUC